rnacentral:lncRNA from 1 species
CCCAUGAUAUGAACAUUUAUAGUGAAGAAUAACAUGUAACAUGUAUCUUAGGUGGAAUGCAAUUUGGUGGGAUGAUCAGGUAUAUGCAACAAGUUAAAGAACUACUCUUGAAGAACAGGUUACAGAUAUCGACAUAUCUGACAAGGGUUGAACACACCGGGUUCACCCUAUAUGCCAAGUCAUCGGACUUGUCAUAAUCUCAAUGUAUUAAUGAGGGCUAAACCAUCCGGGUUUACCCUAUA